ACUACAACCUGUCCUGGUUAUACUAGGAUCAUAUGCUAGUUAAUACGUUUUAAACAUACACCUGUUUUUUCCCUAGUGUGGACAAAAACUAAGGGCAUGCCGCUGUAGUGCUGUAAUGUAGGUUCUUCCUGCAUCAAUGGAAGCGGUUUUUCCACCGAUAUAGAUAAUCAAUGUAGAUGCUGCAUCUACAUAGGGGGUGAGGUCUGCUUAAUUAAAGUGCAAUGGGGUGUGAAUUUUUCACACCUCAUAGUGACUACCUAGGUUGUUCUAAAUUUUAAAUGCAAAGAGGGCUGGGAUUGCAGUCCAGAAGCAGCAAGGUCACCCAAUAGGAAGGUUCCCUGUUGCUCCACAGUUAUCGCCAGGGGUCCAAUUAAGGAUGGUAGUGUUUGCACAGGGAGACACCCUAACUGCGUGGCAGAUGCAAUGCAGGGUGUUAACUGAGGAGUGUAACACAUGGGUAAUGAUGGAAGUAUCAGGCUUCUGAGGAGGGGGGGGAAAAAAAGCACAUACCAGAGAUGGAAUGCAGGUCUGUGAGAGUCAGGAAAUGUCUGUUUCCAUAGCGCUGUGUGCUAUACCAUGAGCCUAGCAACAGGGAACAGAGAAAGCAUGUUGGGUCUGAUUCUCCAUUACCCUACCAGUGGCAAUUUUACCCCCUUUUACUUUGCAAAUGUCUACACACAGUACACAGAAACAGAGAAUCAGGCCCCUUGGUUCCAAAUAUUAUCUCAUGUAACCAGUUUAUGAAGUUACAGAACUCUAAAUAUAAUCCUUGUUUAUUUAACGGGGCCAGUAGGACUGAAGGAAAUCCAGGAGAUUUUAUUUGACAGGAUUUGUUGAUGGUUCAAGCGGCCAGCCUGCAGAAGGAAGCAUUAUAUCAGUCUAAUGGCAAGCGGACAACAGAAACAUCGAUAGACUCAACUAUUCCUUUGUUUUAAGACGUGACAAAUCAUCCCAGCUGAUAGGAUUUUAUUAAUAUUAUUGA